CAGCCGCCGCGGGAAUACGGAGGGAGCUAGCGUUGUUCGGAAUUACUGGGCGUAAAGCGCGCGUAGGCGGUUACUCAAGUCAGAGGUGAAAGCCCGGGGCUCAACCCCGGAACUGCCUUUGAAACUAGGUGACUAGAAUCUUGGGGAGGUCAGUGGAAUUCCGAGUGUUGAGGUGAAAUUCGUAGAUAUUCGGAAGAACACCAGUGGCGAAGGCGACUGACUGGACAAGUAUUGACGCCGAGGUGCGAAGGCGUGGGGAGCAAACAGGAUUAGAUACCCGGGUAGUCCCUGUCUCUUAUAC
rnacentral:rRNA from 1 species